ACAGACAGACAGAAAGGUAGAAAGACAGACAGGUAGGUAGGGACAGACAGACAGAAAGGAAGAUAGGUAGGUAGGGAUAGAUAGACAGACAGACAGACAGAAAAGUAGAAAGACAGACAGGUAGGUAUGGACAGACAGACAGAAAGGAAGAUAGGUAGGUAGGGAUAGAUAGACAGACAGGUAGGUAGAAAGACAGACAGAAAGGAAGAUAGGUAGGUAGGGAUAGAUAGACAGACAGGUAGGUAGAAAGACAGACAGAAAGGAAGAUAGAUAGAUAGAUAGAGCAGGCAGGCAGACAAACAGACAGACAGAUAGGUAGGUAGGGAUAGAUAGACAGACAGACAGACAGACAUACAGAAAUGUAGAAAGACAGACAAACAGGUAGGUAGGGACAGAUAGAUAGACAGACAAAAAAGUAGAAAGACAGACAGACAGAUAGGUAUGGACAGGUAGACAGACAGACAGAAAGGUAGAACGACAGACAGGUAGGUAGGGACAGACAGACAGAAAGGAAGAUAGGUAGGUAGGGAUAGAUAGACAGACAGACAGACAUACAUAAAUGUAGAAAGACAGACAGACAGGUAGGUAGGGACAGAUAGAUAGACAGACAGAAAGGUAGAAAGACAGAGAGACAGGUAGGUAGGGACAGAUAGACAGACAGACAGAAAGGUAGAUAGACAGACAGACAGACAGACAGACAGAAAGGUAGGUAGGAAGGUUUUAUGUAGACAAACAGACAGACCGUAAGGAAGGUAUGUAGGUAAGUAGGUAGACAGACAGACAAAUAAACAAGAAAGGUAGGCAGGUACGUAGACAGACGGACAGACAGACAGACAGAAAGGUAGGUAGGUAGAUAGGCAGACAUAAUGAAAGAAAUGUAGGUACGUAGGUAGGUAGACAGACAGACAGACAGAAUGUUAGAUACACAGACAAAGGAAGAUGGAUAGAUACAUAGAUAGAUAGAUAGACAGACAGACAGACAGGCAGACAGAAAGGAAGAUAGGUAGGUAAGGAUAGAUAGACAGACAGACGGACAGGUAUUAUCAUAUUAUCAUAUUUAAGUCCUACGGAGACACCAAACGUUUGAGUAGAUGAGUGAAUCUUACCCGGAGGAAGACAGACAGUCUUCUGAUAAAUAAACAAAUGCUAAAGCUAAGCUAGCUCAGCCAGUGUUACUAUCCUAGUCCUGUACAGCCUGUAUCUCUCAGCUGUUAAACAGCAGGUUUGUGAGGCUGCUUUUGGGUAGUGUACCUCCUGGUGAGAGAGUGAACAGUGUUCUGAACAGUGAGGCUCUAUAUAGACAGUUUCUGUGUAUAAAUAAAUGAUAAAUAACCUGAAAAGUCACUAAUAAAGUCAUUACUGUAAA